UAGGGAAUAUUGGACAAUGGGCGCAAGCCUGAUCCAGCCAUGCCGCGUGUGUGAAGAAGGCCUUCGGGUUGUAAAGCACUUUUUGUCCGGAAAGAAAUCCUUGGCUCUAAUACAGUCGGGGGAUGACGGUACCGGAAGAAUAAGCACCGGCUAACUACGUGCCAGCAGCCGCGGUAAUACGUAGGGUGCAAGCGUUAAUCGGAAUUACUGGGCGUAAAGCGUGCGCAGGCGGUUUGCUAAGACCGAUGUGAAAUCCCCGGGCUCAACCUGGGAACUGCAUUGGUGACUGGCAGGCUAGAGUAUGGCAGAGGGGGGUAGAAUUCCACGUGUAGCAGUGAAAUGCGUAGAAAUGUGGAGGAAUACCGAUGGCGAAGGCAGCCCCCUGGGCCAAUACUGACGCUCAUGCACGAAAGCGUGGGGAGCAAACAGGAUUAGAUACCCUGGUAGUCCACGCCCUAAACGAUGUCAACUAGUUGUUGGGGAUUCAUUUCCUUAGUAACGUAGCUAACGCGUGAAGUUGACCGCCUGGGGAGUACGGUCGCAAGAUUAAAACUCAAAGGAAUUGACGGGGUCAUAGCUGUUUCCU
rnacentral:rRNA from 1 species